GCAUUAAUGGGGUAGUGGUAAUCUGGGUCAUUGCCGUUGAAUGAGUUCGACCCGCCAGGGGUUUGAUUCCCCCUUAAUGCA